UAGAAGUUACGAGUUAGAACAUAGAAGAGACGAGCAGUGAGCUUCGUCGACCGACGUGGACCCUAGCACUUGCGAUCCCAUCCUUUAGCCUUCGCCCUGUUCGCUGGACAUCUCGGCCUUCAUCGGCGACGACGAAAGCUUGAAGCCUCUUCUCUCUCUGAGACUCUUCAUUGCUCAACAUACCUAACAUCAGUCACAUUGUAAUCAUCGAGUAGAGUGAGAGUGAGAAAUGGGAAAGCAAUUGGGACCAACUGGAGAGUUCUUUAAGAGAAGGGACGAGUGGAGAAAGCACCCAAUGCUGACGAAUCAGUUGAGGCAUGCGACUCCUGGCCUUGGCAUUGCGUUGGUUGCUUUUGGCAUUUAUUGCAUUGGUGAAGCUGCCUACAAUAAGUUCUACACUCCUACCUCACACUCAUCUGCAUCUUCUCAUUCUCACUGACCCUCUCCUGCCAUUGUCACUAAUGUCUCUCAGUAGUCAAAGGCGCAAGGCACACCGAGGUGCAAAGGGUACUUGGAGCCGAAGACCGAAGUGCAGGGCGAAAGUGUGCGCCUCACAAAGAUGAAUGCUUGGGGGAAGAAUCAAUGCUUGGAUGGCAUAUCCUGUUUCCUUUUUUCUUUUGGUGCUGAAUAAAGAUUUUGUAUCUGUCCUGAGACUUGAAUUCUGGUAAACUUACCUUUAAUAUGUUACAAUGUUAAACUUGUAGCCUACUUUUAGAGCGGAAGGUUUGCUAAGUGGUUUGUUUAUGUUGCUACUCCUGGAACUACAUUGAUGUCUUAAGCUGAUUUUAUGUUGUGGUUUUGGCAA